AGGAUUUCAACAAUGAAAAGCUUCUAACUUUUCAACGGGUUAUUUAAUAAUCCAAAUCCUA
rnacentral:tRNA from 1 species